UCUGCACUGGCCUUACCCACAACGCGACACCUGUCGACUGCACACCCACAGCUCUCCUGCCUGCUUCAGCUCAAGGACUUUUCCGAGGCUCAGUGGAAACGAAAUCCUGUUCUACGGCAACCGUCUCCGUCUGAAUUCAUUUGUUACCUCUGCAGCCAGUCACAUCUUUUAUAAUUACUGUCGCCAAGGCUGUUGGUGUCUUUUUCUAUUCAGUGGAAGUGGAUUUGAAGCAGCCAGAUCUGCUGUGAUCCUCAGAGGGCGAGUCUGGAGCGUUCAUCCUGCCUUGAAAUGAAUGAAAAGUAAUACAUAAUUAAAUAUCAUAUUUAUAUAAAUACACAGA
rnacentral:lncRNA from 1 species